UGUCAAGUCGGAUGUGAAAUCCCCGGGCUCAACCUGGGAACUGCAUUCGAAACUGGCAGGCUUGAGUCUUGUAGAGGGGGGUAGAAUUCCAGGUGUAGCGGUGAAAUGCGUAGAGAUCUGGAGGAAUACCGGUGGCGAAGGCGGCCCCCUGGACAAAGACUGACGCUCAGGUGCGAAAGCGUGGGGAGCAAACAGGAUUAGAUACCCUGGUAGUCCACGCCGUAAACGAUGUCUACUUGGAGGUUGUGCCCUUGAGGCGUGGCUUCCGGAGCUAACGCGUUAAGUAGACCGCCUGGGGAGUACGGCCGCAAGGUUAAAACUCAAAUGAAUUGACGGGGGCCCGCACAAGCGGUGGAGCAUGUGGUUUAAUUCGAUGCAACGCGAAGAACCUUACCUGGUCUUGACAUCCACGGAAGUUUUCAGAGAUGAGAAUGUGCCUUCGGGAACCGUGAGACAGGUGCUGCAUGGCUGUCGUCAGCUCGUGUUGUGAAAUGUUGGGUUAAGUCCCGCAACGAGCGCAACCCUUAUCCUUUGUUGCCAGCGGUUAGGCCGGGAACUCAAAGGAGACUGCCAGUGAUAAACUGGAGGAAGGUGGGGAUGACGUCAAGUCAUCAUGGCCCUUACGACCAGGGCUACACACGUGCUACAAUGGCGCAUACAAAGAGAAGCGACCUCGCGAGAGCAAGCGGACCUCAUAAAGUGCGUCGUAGUCCGGAUUGGAGUCUGCAACUCGACUCCAUGAAGUCGGAAUCGCUAGUAAUCGUGGAUCAGAAUGCCACGGUGAAUACGUUCCCGGGCCUUGUACACACCGCCCGUCACACCAUGGGAGUGGGUUGCAAAAGAAGUAGGUAGCUUAACCUUCGGGAGGGCGCUUACCACUUUGUGAUUCAUGACUGGGGUGAAGUCGUAACAAGGUAACCGUAGGGGAACCUGC
rnacentral:rRNA from 1 species